rnacentral:sRNA from 1 species
AACAGAGCCACCUUCUGCGUCCUGCUGAGCUCUGUUCUCUCCAGCACCUCCCAACCCACUAGUGCCCGGUUCUCUUGCUCCACCAGGAACAAGCCACCAUGUCUCGCCAGUCAAGUGUGUCCUUCCGGAGUGGGGGCAGUCGUAGCUUCAGCACCGCCUCUGCCAUCACCCCGUCUGUCUCCCGCACCAGCUUCACCUCUGUGUCCCGGUCCGGGGGUGGCGGUGGUGGUGGCUUCGGCAGGGUCAGCCUUGGGGGUGCUUGUGGAGUGGGUGGCUAUGGCAGCCGGAGCCUCUACAAUCUGGGGGGCUCCAAGAGGAUAUCCAUCAGCACUAGCGGUGGCAGCUUCAGGAACCGCUUUGGUGCUGGUGCUGGAGGCAGCUAUGGCUUUGGAGGUGGUGCCGGUAGUGGAUUUGGUUUCGGCGGUGGAGCUGGUGGUGGCUUUGGGCUCGGUGGCGGAGCUGGCUUUGGAGGUGGCUUCGGUGGCCCUGGCUUUCCUGUCUGCCCUCCUGGAGGUAUCCAAGAGGUCACUGUCAACCAGAGUCUCCUGACUCCCCUCAACCUGCAAAUCGACCCCAGCAUCCAGAGGGUGAGGACCGAGGAGCGUGAGCAGAUCAAGACCCUCAACAAUAAGUUCGCCUCCUUCAUCGACAAGGUGCGGUUCCUGGAGCAGCAGAACAAGGUUCUGGACACCAAGUGGACCCUGCUGCAGGAGCAGGGCACCAAGACCGUGAGGCAGAACCUGGAGCCGUUGUUCGAGCAGUACAUCAACAACCUCAGGAGGCAGCUGGACAGCAUCGUGGGGGAACGGGGCCGCCUGGACUCGGAGCUGAGAAACAUGCAGGACCUGGUGGAAGACUUCAAGAACAAGUAUGAGGAUGAAAUCAACAAGCGUACCACUGCUGAGAAUGAGUUUGUGAUGCUGAAGAAGGAUGUAGAUGCUGCCUACAUGAACAAGGUGGAGCUGGAGGCCAAGGUUGAUGCACUGAUGGAUGAGAUUAACUUCAUGAAGAUGUUCUUUGAUGCGGAGCUGUCGCAGAUGCAGACGCAUGUCUCUGACACAUCAGUGGUCCUCUCCAUGGACAACAACCGCAACCUGGACCUGGAUAGCAUCAUCGCUGAGGUCAAGGCCCAGUAUGAGGAGAUCGCCAACCGCAGCCGGACGGAAGCCGAGUCCUGGUAUCAGACCAAGUAUGAGGAGCUGCAGCAGACAGCUGGCCGGCAUGGCGAUGACCUCCGCAACACCAAGCAUGAGAUCUCUGAGAUGAACCGGAUGAUCCAGAGGCUGAGAGCCGAGAUUGACAAUGUCAAGAAACAGUGCGCCAAUCUGCAGAACGCCAUUGCGGAUGCCGAGCAGCGUGGGGAGCUGGCCCUCAAGGAUGCCAGGAACAAGUUGGCCGAGCUGGAGGAGGCCCUGCAGAAGGCCAAGCAGGACAUGGCCCGGCUGCUGCGUGAGUACCAGGAGCUCAUGAACACCAAGCUGGCCCUGGACGUGGAGAUCGCCACUUACCGCAAGCUGCUGGAGGGCGAGGAAUGCAGGUGAGUAGACAGCAUGAACUCAAAGUGGUCCUCAGCUGAUAAAGCGAAGCUGCUCUACUGUGGGGUGUACAACACACAUACGUGAGAUCAGUGACUUGUGCGUGAUAAUGACACAUCAUCAACACUAUUUCAGUCUGACUCAUGGCCAUAUAACUGACCUCAACUCACUUUUCUGGUCUCUUUUUCCCCACCAGUGUUCCUGGGCACUGGCUGUCCUCCAAGCACCUGAGUAACUCAGCAAACAUGUCUUGACACUUGUGCCUUUUCUGCUAUUGCCCACGUUCUUUGCUCAACCUUAAUAUCCACGUCAUGCCCACCUCCAUCCACCCUUGUCCUCAGUACCCCUUCCUUCAGGAAGCCUUUCAUGUUUACUCCAGCUGAGUUAAACUCGCGUACCUUUGGAUUGUCAAACUACUGUUUGCUUCAACCUCUGACACUGCCCAUUGCCUACUUUCUGUUGGAGGAAUUUCUGUCCUUGCCAAGUUCUCUCACAGAAUGUAACUCCUACAA